rnacentral:rRNA from 1 species
GACGAACGCUGGCGGCGUGCUUAACACAUGCAAGUCGAACGGUGAAGCGCCUUCCUUUUUGGUGGGUGUGGAUGAGUGGCGAACGGGUGAGUAACACGUGAGUAACCUGCCCCCUUCUUCUGGAUAACCGCAUGAAAGUGUGGCUAAUACGGGAUAUUCUGGGUCUGUCGCAUGAUGGGUCUGGGAAAGAUAUUGUUUCGGUGGGGGAUGGGCUCGCGGCCUAUCAGCUUGUUGGUGGGGUGAUGGCCUACCAAGGCGGUGACGGGUAGCCGGCCUGAGAGGGUGGGCGGCCACACUGGGACGGAGACACGGCCCAGACUCCUACGGGAGGCAGCAGUGGGGAAUAUUGCACAAAGGGCGCAAGCCUGAUGCAGCGACGCCGCGUGAGGGAUGGAGGCCUUCGGGUUGAGAACCUCUUUCGCCAGUGAAGCAGGCCUGCCUCGUUUGUGGGUGGGUUGACGGUAGCUGGAUAAGAAGCGCCGGCUAACUACGUG